rnacentral:tRNA from 1 species
AGAAACUUAGGAUAGCCGUUACCAAACCGAAGGCCUUCAAAGCCUUAAACAAGAGUUGAACCCUCUUAGUUUCUG